rnacentral:rRNA from 1 species
UACGGAGGGUGCAAGCGUUAUCCGGAUUCACUGGGUUUAAAGGGUGCGUAGGUGGGCAGGUAAGUCAGUGGUGAAAUCUCUGGGCUUAACCCAGAAACUGCUAUUGAUACUAUCUGUCUUGAAUACCGUGGAGGUCAGCGGAAUAUGUCAUGUAGCGGUGAAAUGCUUAGAUAUGACAUAGAACACCAAUUGGAAGGCAGCUGGCUACACGAAUAUUGACACUGAUGCACGAAAGCGUGGGGAUCAAACAGG